rnacentral:rRNA from 1 species
AAAUUGAAGAGUUUGAUCAUGGCUCAGAUUGAACGCUGGCGGCAGGCCUAACACAUGCAAGUCGAACGGUAACAGGAAACAGCUUGCUGUUUCGCUGACGAGUGGCGGACGGGUGAGUAAUGUCUGGGAAACUGCCUGAUGGAGAGGGAUAACUACUGGAAACGGUAGCUAAUACCGCAUAA